rnacentral:lncRNA from 1 species
UAAUAUGAAAAGCCUGCGACUCUGUCUAGCUGUUACUCUAGUCUAUGAAGCCUCUAAUGAAGUUCUGAAAACGCUGACUGUCACUGUAAGAUAAUGAUAAUGCCCCGAAAGAACUGGGGAUCACCAAAUAGCUGGUAUGAGAAUCCUAGCGCUCUAAAUUAUCAACCUGUAAAUCAUUACCUGCAUCAUGACAUGCAUGCCUCAAGAAAAAGGGGCAUCAGUAUAUUUGAAUUGCACUGGUAUGUAAAGCAACUGAAAGAAAGAAUUAUAAAACCUGAAACUAAAACUCCAGAAUACCAGAAACAGAAAACCUGCAACUUUUCUAAGUGUAAAAAUAUCCCGAAACCUAUACAGAACUGACUCGAUCCCUCAGGGCUCUAAACCAAACAUGCAUACUAACUCAAAAACAUCAUAUGGACUUACUCGUGCAAUUAAAUAUCCAAAUUGACAUUUUAACAACGAAUUUAGCAUCAAAAUAAAAAAAAUCUCAAGAACACUUAAGUUUCAAAUUUCAUAACCGAGGGUUCGAUUCACGUCAUUUCAAGUCCGUUUCUUAUCAAAAUUUACAAGCUCAACCCAAACACCAUAUAAGACCUGUAUCAAGCUCUGGAACCAAAAUACGAGUCCAAUACCAAAAUAAAAACAAAGACUAUAUCGUAUUGUACUGUAACUUAUAAGUUUACUAAAAUAUCCACAAUUAUUUAAAUAUUAUUUUUAUCAAGAAAUGCGCAUAAAAAUAAUUAAGAAUACCUAUUUCUACCAAUUUAUCACCAAAUAUG